GAUGGAAGAACGUAGCGAAAUGCGAUAAGUAAUGUGAAUUGCAGAAUUCAGUGAAUCAUCGAAUCUUUGAACGCACCUUGCGCUCCUUGGUAUUCCGAGGAGCAUGCCUGUUUGAGUGUCAUUAAAUUCUCAACCUCACCAACUUUGGUUGUGUGAAGGCUUGGAUGUGGGGGUUGCAGGUCCGCUUUGGUGGUCUGCUCCUCUAAAAUGUAUUAGUGGGUUAGUCCCCUAAUCUAUUGGUGUGAUAAUUAUCUACGCCGUGGAUUGGGAUGGCUAUAUAGACUCGCUUCUAACCGUCCUCAUGGACAACUUUGACAAUUUUGACCUCAAAUCAGGUAAGACUACCCGCUGAACUUAAGCAUAUCAAUAAGCGGAGGA
rnacentral:misc_RNA from 1 species